CACCCAAACCCGUCCAAUUAUCGAACUAGAAAAAAGACGAUCCCAUCCUAAGGUUUCAAUAUAUUUGAUGUUCCACCUGAUCCCUCAUCUCGAGCAUUUUUCUCCAAACAUGUGAACCACCCUUCCAUGGCACUAUCACCGAAUUUAACUUCUUGCAAUAUUUAUUGUGCAUAAAAGCGCUCCACAAUGACAAUUUUGUCCUAAAAUUCCACCACAAUUUUGCAAACAAAGAGUUUGAAACAUCAAACAGAGACCUGAAACCAAGUCCUUCUUCAUCCAGUGGUACACAGAGUUUCGGCCAUUUCACCCACUGCCUGCCCCUAUCCCCCACCGAAUUGCUCCAAAAAAAAAAAAGAGCAAAAAUCUUGUGCAGCUUCUCAACGACAUAAAACUUCCUCCCACGUUCAUUUAUUCAAAGACACGGUUAUAACCAUAUAAAUAUAUGUAAAACAAAAAAAUAAAAACUCACAACCUCCGCUCUCUCCUUUCAAAACUCUCGGAUUAAAUUCCCAUAGCAUAAAACGUAGAAAUAUCGAUUUUCCUUUUCACAAUUUCUUUUCCAUCACUGGAAACAUUGAAUAGAGUUUGGUGGUUUCAAGGUUUUAUUUUGAAGUAUAAAGAUGGAUCUUUUGCAAGAUACCGAAGAUUACAUCGGUGAAUCGAUGGAGUACUCUCUUGGUCUCCCUGUUUCUGACACAAACAUUUCAACUAAAGUUUCGACCAUGUGAAGAAUCUGUCAUUCGCCUGCGAAAUCGGUAUCUUUCUCUACAAGCCAAAUUCAAAGACAAAGAUGAAACAAUCGAGUAUGAACGCUUCAGCCCUGAAAAAAAGAAGUUCGGAAGUAAAGGUAAGUUCCUUGACUUUAGGAGGACAGUGCAAUUGCAGCAUUGUUAGUUUUUAGCUUUUACCCGAUGCUUGAUAGGUUCUCGAUGGUAUUUAUAGGACUACUCAAUAUUGGGAUUUUGAUUUCGCUAUUGGUUCUAUCGGGUAACUUUGGUUUUCAUUGUAGUUAUCAAUUUGACAUUGGUAGAAUUACCUAGUUUAACAAAGUUUGUUGUCGGUAUGCUUUUUCAUUCUCAUGCUAUUGGUUUUUUAUAAAUACAUGUUUCAUGAUCAAUUUUGCUCAAUGCAAUUGUGGUUGUCAACAGAGGGUCAACCUGAAAGUAUAGUUCAGGAAAUUGAAGAUAUGGUUCACUCAUAUGUUGAGAAGGUAAUAUGCUGAGAGGCGGAGAAUGUAACUGAGGAGCGAGGUGGAUUCAGUAGAUUCUAGAGCAUUUCUGUUGGAGCUAAGAUUUCAUGUUACUAAAAACCUUAUAGGCAGACGUAGCACUGUUUGAAUAAAGUUUUUCCUGAAACUGUAGUAAAUGAUACCAUCAUUUUUAACUCUUAAGUGCAUAAAUUUUGUUGGUUCUGAGCGCUGAGCACUAAUGGUGUUUAUCCAUAUAUUCUUAGCAAGCUUGAGUUUUGUAUGCUUUUUUGAAUUCUUCACAUAUAGGCAUACUACACAAACACGUUUAUUGUUCUCCAGCAAAGUACUAAUUGCCCCAUCAAUGGCCUCAUGAGAAAGCUGUUUUUUUUUUUUUUUCAUUUUCAUGAUUUUCUAAUUAUCCAUUUGUUGUUGUUUAGGUAAAGAAAGAGAAUUGGUCUAUUCCCACCAAAUUGGCCACCAAUCUGUCAAUUAGCAUAGCAGAUACAACAUCAAGGAAACAACCAAAUAGUAUGCCAAUGGAGCAUGGAAGGAUGGCUUUACAACAUUUAGCCUUGGUUGACAAGAAGUAUUCUGGAAAUAUCAUUGGAUUGUUGCGCUCACAAUUCUGCGAAUGAAGAUAUUGAUCACCGGAAAAAUUCACCAAGCAAAUCAUCAUCUUCAUUAUGGAAAUAUCUUCCUUACCGUUUGAAAUAGUACUUCAUCGAAGGCUGCAUUAGAAGCUCAGGGAUAAGCUCAACAGAAAUUCAAGGAAAUUAUCCCUAUGAUCCAUAUAAUAUAGAUAUAUUGUGGAUAGUUUCAGGGGAAAACAGAAGUCUGUUAUGUUCAAGUGUCUCCAAAAUUUAAAAUUUCAGUUUAAGAUGAUUGUUUUAACUGUAACGACCCAAAUCGAUGGGCCAUGACUAGUGCCCGAGUUGGACACUCGUAUACGAACCUGUUAGCUAUAAUCAGACUAAUACAAGGACAAUGUCGAAAAUUUGCAAAAACAUGAUGUAAACUCAUAAUGCCA